CCCUUAGAUGUUCUGGGCCGCACGCGCGCUACAAUGAUGCAGGCAACGAGUGCCGCUCCUUAGCCGAAAGGCUUGGGGAAUCUUGAAAACUGCAUCGUGCUAGGGAUAGAUGAUUGCAAUCGUGCAUCUUGAACGAGGAAUGCCUUGUAAGCGUGAGUCAUCAACUCGCGCUGAAUACGUCCCUGCCCUUUGUACACACCGCCCGUCGCUACUACCGAUUGAGCAUUAGGGUGAAAUCUUCGGACCGUGGCAUACUUCUGGCCUAGCCGGUCUUUGUCCGUGGGAGGUCGCUUAAAUCCUGAUGCUUAGAGGAAGUAAAANUCGUANCA
rnacentral:rRNA from 1 species